rnacentral:misc_RNA from 1 species
UCUCCGUUGGUGAACCAGCGGAGGGAUCAUUACCGAGUUACCGCUCUACAACCCUUUGUGAACAUACCUAACUGUUGCUUCGGCGGGCAGAGGUCCCUCGCGGAUCUCUCCCGGCAACGCCCUCACGGGCGGAGCGCCCGCCGGAGGAUACCAAACUCUAUUUUAACGACGUUUCUUCUGAGUGGCACAAGCAAAUAAUUAAAACUUUUAACAACGGAUCUCUUGGUUCUG